CAAAAGCUGAGGAAACGAAACGUGGGGUGACUCGUCGCCGUCCCCCUUACGCCCUAUUAUCUCUUAAAUAAAGGUCGAACAAAAAUGAAGGCUUACUCUGCAGCAGCGGCCCCCGCGCUCCCCGAGGGCUAUGAGCAAGGCAAUUGUAGGCAUAUGGGUAAGCAUAACGGGCAUAUCGCAUAGUUGGAGCAGUCGUUCGAAGAAAAUUCGUUCAUCAAAAUUUUUGAUAUAUAUAUUCAUCACUACCGGGGAUAGGGGACUGUCCUUAAGAAUCCCUUUACCCAGGGACCUCUAGUUAUUCCCGUCUCAAUCAUCAAUAGAAGCCGAGUGAAAGCAUCCAUCCUUGCCAGUUUCUCACCCGCCCAUCCAGGGACUCGGCAGAAAAGAAGGUUGCUGCCCAUGCCGAAAGAACUCCCGGUGCAUCGAACAGAAAAGACCCUGUUCUUGCUUCGCCCAACUAUAGUUUAGAAACUGGAAUAGAGUGUUUAGCAUCCUUUUCCUCUAGUAUUGACGCUGUCCAUGCGAAAUAACAUAGGGUUGCUCGGGGAUAGGACUACCGCUUUCACCGCUCGGUCGUCUAGUUCUAGAGCUCUAGUCUUAAGUUCCUAUCAAGGAGUUGACUGCAAGAUAAGCUGUUGGGUUUGGUCGAGGGACCGACCUUGUAUUGGUUUGAAGCUUUUCCAGGACAGUCAGUUGUUAAUACGUGGAAAAAAGAGUGCUCCAAAAGCUAGAUCCUUUACGGGCCCUUAG
rnacentral:misc_RNA from 1 species